rnacentral:lncRNA from 1 species
ACUGCUAUGGAUUACAAACACGCCAUCAAUCUUAAAACAAACUAUUUUUAGUUUCAAAUAAUAACGAGAGUCUAAUUAAUGCUCUGUAUAACUUCAAAUGUGGGAUCUUUAUCUACCUUUCUACUUUGUGAUGCUUUCUAACACAGUAUUAGGGCCAAAGGCAGGGUUUAUGGCAAUGAAGUUUGCAUGGCACAAGUGGUCAGUGUCAGAUCCAGAGGGUGGGAGAAGACAGAUUUGCAGAAAAUUAUCCGUCCUCUGCUAACCACUCAGUGACGGGCCUCGGGGUUCAGGGUCAGUGUUUACAGGGGAGGAGGGAGGCUGGGCAUGCUGGGUCCUCAUUGUACACAAAUACCCCGGGCCUCAACCUCACCCAUGUGCCACACUGUGCCAAGGGUGUUACAUAACAUUUCUCUUUUAAUCCUCACAACAAUCUAUGAGGCAAAUACUGUUCUCGUCCCCAUUUUGCAGAAGAGGAAAUGAGCUCAAAGGUCACUUGGCUAGUGUAUAGUCAUUAGUGCUGUCUCCAAAUAUUUCCGGCUCUCUGCCUUCUGGCACAAGGUAGGACUGCAUGUUCUCACUCUUUGAUGCUAGCUGUGGACAUGUGACCAACUUUAACCAAUAAAACGUGGCGGAACUGAUGUGCGUCAGCUCUAGUGGAAGCAUUAAGACUCUGGCACCCUCACACCUAUGUUGUUCAUAGAGUGUAAAUGAGAAAUAAACUUUUAUUGUUAAACCACUGAACUUACAAGUUGUGUGUUGCCAUGGCAAGCCUGGCCUACCCUGACACAGUUAGGAAGGGGCAGAGCCAGAGUUCGGAGGCCUGGUCUGUAAAGAUGCCAGAUGGCGUAAGUACCUUCCAGAGAUUGACCUGCUUGCCUAAGACACACAGGAGCCCCUUUUUGGGCUACUUAGAACCCUGUGGGGCAGGGGAGGAGGGUAGGCAGCCUCCCUACCCUUAUCUCUUUCCCCCUGAUUUGACUGUGAUUUCCCCCUGAUUUGACUGUGAUUUUGC